rnacentral:tRNA from 1 species
GCCCGGAUAGCUCAGUCGGUAGAGCAGGGGAUUGAAAAUCCCCGUGUCCGUGGCUCGAUUCCGCGUCCGGGCACCA